AGCUUUGCACAGGGGCAGUAUUGUAGCCAAUGAGGUUUAUCUGAGGUACAAUUACUACUAAUUGAAAAGAAAAAAAAAAGUGUGGACUUAUUUUUAAACCACUGCACGUUAUUUCCAAUUUUCUGCUGUUAAAGCAA